rnacentral:rRNA from 1 species
GCGAGGAAAAGAAAUCAACCGAAAUUCCGCUAGUAGUGGCGAGCGAACGCGGAAGAGGCCAAACCGAGAGUAGAAAUAUUCUCGGGGUUCGGACAGUGUAGUGUAUUGAUGACGGUUAGCAGAAGGACAUGGGACGGUCCACCAGAGAGAGUGAUAGUCUCGUACGCGAAAACCGAAGUCAGCCAACUGUAUCCAGAGUACCGCCGGACACGUGAAACCCGGUGGGAAUAUGGGGGGACCAUCCUCCAAGCCUAAAUACUCCCUGGUGACCGAUAGUGAACAGUACUGUGAAGGAAAGGUGAAAAGAACCCCGGGAGGGGAGUGAAAAGAACCUGAAACCUUGUGCUUACAAGCACACAAAGCACGUCAAAGUGUGAUGUGGUACCUUUUGUAGAAUGGUCCGGCGAGUGAAUGUAACCGGCGAGGUUAAGUGUUUAAGACACGGAGCCGCAGCGAAAGCGAGUCUGAAACGGGCGUUUCAGUCGGUUGUAUUCGACCCGAAACCGGGUGACCUAGCCAUGUCCAGGCUGAAGUUAAGGUAAAACUUGAUGGAGGGCCGAACCCACUCCCGUUGAAAUGGUAGGGGAUGAGGUGUGGCUAGCGGAGAAAUUCCAAUCGAACCCGGAGAUAGCUGGUUCUCUCCGAAAUAGCUUUAGGGCUAGCCUCGAUCGAACAUUACCGGAGGUAGAGCACUGAAUGAGCUAGGGGCCGAGAGGUUACUGAACUCUAUCAAACUCCGAAUGCCGGAUAAUGAUGAUCGGGAGUCAGACUAUGGGAGAUAAGUUUCAUAGUCAAAAGGGAAACAGCCCAGACCCACAGCUAAGGUCCCAAAGUAUGGUUAAGUGGAAAAGGAUGUGGAGUUGCACAGACAACCAGGAUGUUGGCUUAGAAGCAGCCACUCAUUAAAAGAGUGCGUAAUAGCUCACUGGUCGAGUGGCUCUGCGCCGAAAAUUUAACGGGGCUAAACCAUACACCGAAGCUUGGGAUGUACUAAGUACAUGGUAGGAGAGCGUUGAAUGCGGGAAGAAGUCAUAGCGAAAGCGGUGGUGGACUGCAUUGAAGUGAGAAUGCCGGAAUGAGUAGCGAGAUUUAUGUGAGAAUCAUAAAGGCCGAAUGACUAAGGAUUCAGAAGGAAGGUUCGUCCGCUUCUGGUUAGCCGGGAGCUAAGGUGAGGCCGAGAGGCGUAGCCGAUGCACAUACGGUGGAGAUUCCGUAGCCGCCGAAAGACAGAGGGACACUUUGGAAGCGUUGUUGCCGGGCGAUGGUCGCCCCGGUCGAAAGGGACCGAAGACAAGUAGGGAAGAACAGCGUGGACAGAGGCAAGAAAAGCUCUGUGAAUUAAAAGGCGCCCGUACCGCAAACCGACACAGGUAGUCAGGAAGAGAAUUCUAAGGCCAACGGGAGAAGGGUAGUUAAGGAACUCGGCAAAUUGACCCCGUAACUUCGGAAUAAGGGGUGCUCCUGAGAAGGAGCCGCAGUGAAAAGGUCCAGGCGACUGUUUAUCAAAAACACAGGUCUCUGCUAAAUCGAAAGAUGAAGUAUAGGGGCUGACACCUGCCCGGUGCUGGAAGGUUAAGAGGAGAGGUGCAAGCUUUGAAUCGAAGCCCCAGUAAACGGCGGCCGUAACUAUAACGGUCCUAAGGUAGCGAAAUUCCUUGUCGGGUAAGUUCCGACCCGCACGAAUGGUGUAACGAUCUGGACACUGUCUCAAC